CCUACGGGAGGCAGCAGUGAGGAAUAUUGGUCAAUGGGCGCGAGCCUGAACCAGCCAAGUCGCGUGAAGGAUGACUGCCCUACGGGUUGUAAACUUCUUUUAUCAAGGAAUAAAGUGAGGCACGUGUGCCUUUUUGUAUGUACUUUCUGAAUAAGGAUCGGCUGACUCCGUGCCAGCAGCCGCGGUAAUACGGAGGGUCCGGGCGUUAUCCGGAGAUAUUGGGGUUAAAGGGGGCGUAGAUGGGUUGUUAAGUCAGGUGUGAAAGUUUGCGGCUCAACCGUAAAAUUGCAAUUGAUACUGGCAGCCUUGAGUACAGUUGAGGUAGGCGGAAUUCGUGGUGUAGCGGUGAAAUGCUUAGAUAUCACGAAGAACUCCGAUUGCGAAGGCAGCCUGCUAAGCUGCCACUGACAUUGAUGCUCGAAAGUGUGGGGAUCAAACAGGAUUAGAUACCCGGGUAGUC
rnacentral:rRNA from 1 species